GAUGAACGCUGGCGGCGUGCUUAACACAUGCAAGUCGAGCGAAGCAGUUAAGUUGAUUUCUUCGGAUUGAUUCUUAACUGACUGAGCGGUGGACGGGUGUGUAACGCGUGGGUGACCUGCCCCAUACCGGGGGAUAACAGCUGGAAACGGCUGCUAAUACCGCAUAAGCCGACAGUCCUGCAUGGCUCGUUGAGAAAAACUCCGGUGGUAUGGGAUGUGCCCGCUUCUGAUGAGGCAGUUGGCGGGGUAAGGGCCCACCAAAACGACGAUCAGUAGCCGGCCUGAGAGGGCGACCAGGCACAUUGGGACUGAGACACGGCCCAAACUCCUACGGGAGGCAGCAGUGGGGAAUAUUGCACAAUGGGGGAAACCCUGAUGCAGCGACGCCGCGUGAGCGAAGAAGUAUUUCGGUAUGUAAAGCUCUAUCAGCAGGGAAGAUAAUGACGGUACCUGACUAAGAAGCCCCGGCUAACUACGUGCCAGCCGCCGCCGUAA
rnacentral:rRNA from 1 species